AUUGAACGCUGGCGGCAUGCCUAACACAUGCAAGUCGAGCGAGCGGCGGACGGGUGAGUAAUGGCUGGGAAACUGCCUGAUGGAGGGGGAUAACUACUGGAAACGGUAGCUACUACCGCAUACCAUCAGAUGUGCCCUGAUGGGAUUAGCUAGUGGGUGGGGUAAUGGCUCACCUAGGCGACGAUGCCUAGCUGGUCUGAGAGGAUGACCAGCCACACUGGAACUGAGACACGGUCCAGACUCCUACGGGAGGCAGCAGUGGGGAAUAUUGGACAAUGGGCGCAAGCCUGACGCAGCCAUGCCGCGUGUAUGAAGAAGGCUUUCGGGUUGUAAAGCACUGUCAGCGGGGAGGCGUUAUCCGAAGAAGAAGCAACGGCUAACUCCGUGCCAGCAGCCGCGGUAAUAC
rnacentral:rRNA from 1 species